CUGAAUGAGCCGUAGUGCACUGACAGACAAUUGAUUGGCAUAAUCAUGACCAUUGGUUUUAUAGUUGAUUAUCUUUGGCCCAUAGUGCAAAGAUAGACAAUUGAUUGGUAUGAUCAUUGUUAUUACAUUUGAAUGUCUUUAUCCUUUGGGGCAAAGAUAUUGAGUGAAAGUUCUAUUAAGCAUUUGUGACAAGGAGAAACUGUUGAUUUAUAUGAUUAUGAACAUGAAUUGUGAAUUCAACUAUAAUAAUUGGUGUUAUAGGUGAAGACAGGUAAUGAAAGUUCUCUUUGUCUUGGGUACAACAAAGAACUGUUGAUGGGUAUUACAUGAUUGAAAUAUUAAUGAUGGACUUUUAAUUUGGGGAAGAUAGUAGAUAUUAUGUUCUACUUGACUCUUCUAAUGGAUUGUUGAUUUCGCUGCAAUUAUGGUUGAACACUUUUAUCAUCUACCAUAUGUUCUAAAUAUCUGAUUUAUUACUGAUGAAGACUACUGAUAAUUUGAUUAUCUUUAAUCAUAAUUAUAUUCUUUAUUGGGCUAUUUGUGCUCAUACUUUUGCUUCACAAUUCCUUUCAGGUAAUAAGAGUGUAGCUGGGUCGAACGUGAAUAUCAGGGAAAUAUAGUGAUGGUCUGUAAUUGUUG
rnacentral:lncRNA from 1 species